rnacentral:rRNA from 1 species
GGAAGUACUGCACUGAUAGUGGGGGACAACGUUUCGAAAGGAACGCUAAUACCGCAUACGUCCUACGGGAGAAAGUGGGGGAUCUUCGGACCCCACGCUAUCAGAUGAGCCUAGGUCGGAUUAGCUAGUUGGUGGGGUAACGGCUCACCAAGGCGACGAUCCGUAACUGGUCUGAGAGGAUGAUCAGUCACACUGGAACUGAGACACGGUCCAG